rnacentral:rRNA from 1 species
AACGAACGCUGGCGGCAUGCCUAACACAUGCAAGUCGAACGAGACCUUCGGGUCUAGUGGCGCACGGGUGCGUAACGCGUGGGAACCUGCACUUAGGUUCGGAAUAACUCCCCGAAAGGGGUGCUAAUACCGGAUAAUGUAUUAGGACCAAAGAUUUAUCGCCUUUGGAUGGGCCCGCGUUGGAUUAGCUAGUUGGUAGGGUAAAAGCCUACCAAGGCGACGAUCCAUAGCUGGUCUGAGAGGAUGAUCAGCAACACUGGGACUGAGACACGGCCCAGACUCCUACGGGAGGGAGCAGUGGGGAAUAUUGGACGAUGGGCGAAAGCCUGAUCCAGCAAUGCCGCGUGAGUGAUGAAGGCCUUAGGGUUGUAAAGCUCUUUUAGCCGGGAUGAUAAUGACGGUACCGGGAGAAUAAGCUCCGGCUAACUCCGUG